CCUACGGGGGGCAGCAGUGGGGAAUAUUGGACAAUGGGCGCAAGCCUGAUCCAGCCAUGCCGCGUGAGUGAUGACGGUCUUAGGAUUGUAAAGCUCUUUCACCGGUGAAGAUAAUGACGGUAACCGGAGAAGAAGCCCCGGCUAACUUCGUGCCAGCAGCCGCGGUAAUACGAAGGGGGCUAGCGUUGUUCGGAUUUACUGGGCGUAAAGCGCACGUAGGCGGACUUUUAAGUCAGGGGUGAAAUCCCAGAGCUCAACUCUGGAACUGCCUUUGAUACUGGAAGUCUUGAGUAUGGUAGAGGUGAGUGGAAUUCCGAGUGUAGAGGUGAAAUUCGUAGAUAUUCGGAGGAACACCAGUGGCGAAGGCGGCUCACUGGACCAUUACUGACGCUGAGGUGCGAAAGCGUGGGGAGCAAACAGGAUUAGAUACCC
rnacentral:rRNA from 1 species